GCAUUGAUGAUUCAGUUGUUGAAUGCUCGCCUUCCAUGCCGGAGACCUGGGUUCAAUCCCCAGCCAGUGCA
rnacentral:tRNA from 1 species